UUGUCCGGAAUUACUGGGUGUAAAGGGAGUGUAGGCGGGAUAUCAAGUCAGAAGUGAAAAUUACGGGCUCAACUCGUAACCUGCUUUUGAAACUGACAUUCUAGAGUGAAGUAGAGGCAAGCGGAAUUCCUAGUGUAGCGGUGAAAUGCGUAGAUAUUAGGAGGAACACCAGUGGCGAAGGCGGCUUGCUGGGCUUUUACUGACGCUGAGGCUCGAAAGCGUGGGGAGCAAACAGGAUUAGAUACCCUGGUAGUCCACGCCGUAAACGAUGAUUACUAGGUGUGGGGGGAUCGACCCCUUCCGUGCCGGAGUAAACACAAUAAGUAAUCCACCUGGGGAGUACGACCGCAAGGUU
rnacentral:rRNA from 1 species